GUGGAUUAGAUACCCUGGUAGUCCGCACCGUAAACGAUGGAUACUCGCUGCUGGCGAUAUACGGUCAGUGGCCACGCGAAAGCAUUAAGUAUCCCACCUGGGGAGUACGCCGGCAACGGUGAAACUCAAAGGAAUUGACGGGGGCCCGCACAAGCGGAGGAACAUGUGGUUUAAUUCGAUGAUACGCGAGGAACCUUACCCGGGCUUGAACUAUGGUGGACCGUUCCAGAGAUGGAUCUUCCCUUCGGGGCCGCCAUGGAGGUGCUGCACGGCCGUCGCCAGCU
rnacentral:rRNA from 1 species